rnacentral:lncRNA from 1 species
AUAACAUAUAUUUACAUGAUGAUCCCACAUUACAUAAAUUGUCUAUACAUGCCAUAAAAUUUCGGAACACUAGUAGUAAAAUACCCCAAAUGUGAAGGAUAGUGUAGAUGAUUGUCUGACUUCGUUCCAAUUUCCGAGUUGUUGGAAGUCACUAUAAUCAAGAGAAAAAUAAAAUCGAGUAAGCAUAUAGCUUAGUAAGUAAACACAUGAUAAAUAAGUAAUUACUCCCAUAACUACACCAAAAUAUAAACUUAUUCAUGAAUAACUUUAUUGUUUAGGCAAUUUCCAGCAAGCUGUUUUUCUGCGUCAUAGUCGCUAAUUUAUUUUUAUCUGGAGCUACAGGGUUCAAAAUUGAGUUCCGUAAAUUUUCCUUGAAACUAGACUCAUAUACCAUUUCACCAUAAAAUUUCAGAAUUUUUGACCCAGCCAAUUAGUACAGUUUAUUCAUUAAACCUUCCCCUGUUUCACUGCCCAACGGUUCUGACCCUUCCUCACUAAAAUUCACUUAACUCUCUGUACAAAAUUUGAAAAAUGGUUUCGCUUGUUUCCAAUAAAAAUAGACUCAAUAAGGAGUCCAGGGAUAUAAAUUUCAUGCCACAAUUAUUUUUUUAAAAUUUUUGGUAAUUUUCCAAAGUUAGAACAGGGGAUCUCGAAAUCAAUCCAGCCCUGUUUCAGUAAAAUUCAGAUAUCUCCAAAAAUACAACUCUUUUGCUUAUUCUAUUUCUUUCAUAUGAGAAUAGAUACAUUCAACUUCAAUUUCAUAUAUUAUUCAGCUUCCCAUUCAUUUUCCACCAUUUAUGGUGAUUUUUCAAAGUUACCCAAUUGCUGUUGUUCAACACAGUUUAUAAUUAAAUCGUUCCUUUUGUGUUUUUGAUAUUUUCUCCCAUCUCAUACAUGGGUCGAUUUAGUAUUCAACUCAAUAUUUACCCCAUAAAAUUUUCCACCAUAUGGCAAUAUUCACCUUCCACACUUUUUCGUUGAACACUCGGAAUGUUAACCGUUAUCGGUGGAUCCCGCACUUAGCACCACCACUGAAUCGGGGAAUCAGCACUUAGCAACCCAUCGGGGGAAUCAGCACAUCGUUGAACACUCGGAAUGUUAACCGUUAUCGGUGGAUCCCGCACUUAGCACCACCACUGAAUCGGGGAAUCAGCACUUAGCAACCCCUCGGGGGAAUCAGCACAUAGCAACCCCCUUUUCAUUUCAAAAAUACGGUGGAUAUCGCACUUAGCACCACCAAUGAAAUCGGGGAAUCAGCACUUAGCAACCCCUCGGGGGAAUCAGCACAUAGCAACCCCCUUUCACAUUUCAAAGGUAUGGUGGAUCACGCACCUAGCACCACCAAUGAAUCGGGGAAUCAGCACACAGCAACCCCUUUUAUAUACAACAUACUCCGGCUUAUUCCGAGUGUUCAACCCAUAAACCAUAUAUUGCAACCCUUUAUCACCUUUCCCGAUUUAACAACAUUUUUAGGAUAUUGCCAAACAUUUAUUUUAAUUCCAAAUAAAUCUCAACAUAUAUCAAAUAAUAUCAAAAUAAUACAUUAAGUCACGUGUUUACUUACCUCGGUGCAAAAUAUCGUAAUUUUGCACUUUACUCCACUAUCUUUUCUUUUCCCCGUUUGAUAUACUCUUCACGUCUUUCUUGAUUAUGGAGCUUGAAAGCUUAAAAACCCUAAAUAUGGCUUCCCCCUUGCUGAUUUCGUUCACCA